rnacentral:rRNA from 1 species
CCUACGGGUGGCAGCAGUGAGGAAUAUUGGUCAAUGGACGAGAGUCUGAACCAGCCAAGUAGCGUGAAGGAUGACUGCCCUAUGGGUUGUAAACUUCUUUUAUAUGGGAAUAAAAUGUUCCACGUGUGGGAUUUUGUAUGUACCAUCUGAAUAAGGAUCGGCUAACUCCGUGCCAGCAGCCGCGGUAAUACGGAGGAUCCGAGCGUUAUCCGGAUUUAUUGGGUUUAAAGGGAGCGUAGGUGGAAUGUUAAGUCAGCUGUGAAAGUUUGCGGCUCAACCGUAAAAUUGCAGUUGAAACUGGCAGGCUUGAGUGCAGUAGAGGUAGGCGGAAUUCGUGGUGUAGCGGUGAAAUGCGUAGAUAUCACGAAGAACUCCGAUUGCGAAGGCAGCUCACUGGACUGCAACUGACACUGAGGCUCGAAAGUGUGGGUAUCAAACAGGAUUAGAUACCCCAGUAGUC